UUUUCCGCCCAGUGUUCUAGAAUCUUGCCAUUUGUAUUGUCCUUCCUGCUUUUCUAUGAAGAAUGCUUGCUAUUUAGGUUUCCACAAGCAAUGACUGGGCGACUUAUAACAGGAAAUAAUAUUCGCUGAACCAAGUUUUUUUAAAGUGAUGCAUACACCGGAUAACUACUCCUCCGCCUCCCAUGUUUUCCCAAUCUUGACGAUAUACAUCAUAUUUUGGUAUAUAAAACUUACGGCCGUUUUUCAAAUGGGAUCUUAUAUAACCUAGUAAGAAUGAAAUUUGUAUGUGUAUGAUUAAUUACCAAAUGUUGAUGUUUUUGUAUUGCGGUUCCUUGCGAGUAACUUUGUAACCAAUGGAAUUGCGAGUGUUGUAGAGAAGCAAUUCUGACCUGCGGAAACUGCAUAUAAACUACGCGUAAAAAGUUUGCACUAGAAUUUACCUAGCGUCUGUACAAUUAUAAAUUGUAAUAAAGAGAAGCAUAACUACG